rnacentral:rRNA from 1 species
GAUGAACGCUGGCGGCGUGCCUAAUACAUGCAAGUCGAGCGAACAGACGAGGAGCUUGCUCCUCUGACAUUAGCGGCGGACGGGUGAGUAACACGUGGAUAACCUACCUAUAAGACUGGGAUAACUUCGGGAAACCGGAGCUAAUACCGGAUAAUAUAUUGAACCGCAUGGUUCAAUGGUGAAAGACGGUUUUGCUGUCACUUAUAGAUGGAUCCGCGCCGCAUUAGCUAGUUGGUAAGGUAACGGCUUACCAAGGCAACGAUGCGUAGCCGACCUGAGAGGGUGAUCGGCCACACUGGAACUGAGACACGGUCCAGACUCCUACGGGAGGCAGCAGUAGGGAAUCUUCCGCAAUGGGCGAAAGCCUGACGGAGCAACGCCGCGUGAGUGAUGAAGGUCUUCGGAUCGUAAAACUCUGUUAUUAGGGAAGAACAAAUGUGUAAGUAACUAUGCACGUCUUGACGGUACCUAAUCAGAAAGCCACGGCUAACUACGUG